GAUGAACGCUGGCUGCGUGCCUAAUACAUGCAAGUCGAGCGAACGGACGAGAAGCUUGCUUUUCUGAUGUUAGCGGCGGACGGGUGAGUAACACGUGGAUAACCUACCUAUAAGACUGGGAUAACUUCGGGAAACCGGAGCUAAUACCGGAUAAUAUUUUGAACCGCAUGGUUCAAAAGUGAAAGACGGUCUUGCUGUCACUUAUAGAUGGAUCCGCGCUGCAUUAGCUAGUUGGUAAGGUAACGGCUUACCAAGGCAACGAUGCAUAGCCGACCUGAGAGGGUGAUCGGCCACACUGGAACUGAGACACGGUCCAGACUCCUACGGGAGGCAGCAGUAGGGAAUCUUCCGCAAUGGGCGAAAGCCUGACGGAGCAACGCCGCGUGAGUGAUGAAGGUCUUCGGAUCGUAAAACUCUGUUAUUAGGGAAGAACAUAUGUGUAAGUAACUGUGCACAUCUUGACGGUACCUAAUCAGAAAGCCACGGCUAACUACGUG
rnacentral:rRNA from 1 species